CACGUAGGGGGCAAGCGUUGUCCGGAUUUAUUGGGCGUAAAGGGCUCGUAGGCUGUUCAGUAAGUCAGGUGUGAAAACCCAAGGCUCAACCUUGGGACGCCACUUGAUACUGCUGUGACUAGAGUCCGGUAGAGGAGAUUGGAAUUCCUGGUGUAGCGGUGAAAUGCGCAGAUAUCAGGAGGAACACCAACGGCGAAGGCAGAUCUCUGGGCCGGUACUGACGCUGAGGAGCGAAAGCAUGGGGAGCGAA
rnacentral:rRNA from 1 species